UACGUAGGGUGCAAGCGUUGUCCGGAAUUAUUGGGCGUAAAGAGCUCGUAGGCGGUCUGUCGCGUCUGCUGUGAAAACUCGGGGCUUAACCCCGGCCUGCAGUGGGUACGGGCAGACUAGAGUGCGGUAGGGGAGACUGGAAUUCCUGGUGUAGCGGUGAAAUGCGCAGAUAUCAGGAGGAACACCGGUGGCGAAGGCGGGUCUCGUGGGCAGUAACUGACGCUGAGGAGCGAAAGCGUGGGGAGCGAACAGG
rnacentral:rRNA from 1 species